rnacentral:rRNA from 1 species
AUGGCACUUGCGUACGAGGAGGUUAUGCAUGCCCGCUUUUCUUUCACUUUCCCGGUCAGGCCACGCACGUUACACCCAACAUCGCCGGCGUUCUGGAGGAUAUGCGCGGCCAAGGACGUGGAGAAGUUCAAGCCGGACCCCUACCUGGCGACGCUGCUCAACUGCAUGCUCUGGGUCUUCUACGGCCUCCCCAUCGUCCACGCCAACAGCACCCUCGUCGUCACCAUCAACGGCAUCGGCCUCGCCGUCGAGGCCGUCUACCUCGUCAUCUUCUUCAUCUACUCCACCAUCAAAAAAGGGGUAUGUACAUCCCCUAUCAAUUCCUCUGACAGUCCUUUUCGGCGGAAGAUGCUGAUCGUGCUCGGCAUCGAGGCGGCGUUCAUGCUGGCCGUGGUGGUCGGCGUGCUCCACGGCACCCACACCCACAAGAAGCGCUCCAUGAUCGUCGGCAUCCUUUGCGUUAUCUUCGGCUGCAUCAUGUAUGCCUCCCCGCUCACCAUCAUUAGUAAAGUGAUCAGGACCAAAAGUGUGGAGUACAUGCCAUUCUUGCUGUCGCUGGUGAGCUUCCUCAACGGCUGCUGCUGGACGACCUAUGCCCUCAUCAAGUUCGAUCUCUACGUGAUGAUCCCCAAUGGCCUCGGUGCAUUUCUCAGCCUCGUCCAGCUGAUCCUAUACUUCUUCUACUACAAAACGACCCCCAAGAAGGAAAAGAUUGUUGAGCUGCCCACUGUUGUUGUUGACGGUAUUCUGCGGCAAUCCUAG